AUGGACAGAUUUGAAAGAAGACUUACAACUUUAAGGAAUUGCCACCGAAAGUGUGAAGAGAAAUUUGAAAAUGCUUGGGACCACUGCAAAGAGAGCCGUGGUGAUGAACCUGGGAGCCCCCCAUCAACACCACCACCAUCCAGAGAAGACGAGGUGCUCAGAGAGGAGCUUCUGUCAUCCAGUGGGUCUGAUGCAGAUCCAUUGGAUGAGGACUACAAACCAUCUCCAUCGCCAUCAUCCAGUGAAGAUGAGUUGCUUGCACUAGAGUCCCAGUCAUCCUGCCACAAUACUCCAGAGAAGCACCACAGUCAUGCAUCAUCCAGUGAAACUGGCACCAGAGAAGCUGAGAACCAGAAGGCCAAAGGUAAAGCAGUUCAAAAAGGUACAAAGUCAAAAGCAAAAGGAGGGACGUUUAAAGAUGAUAAAAAGAUUACUGUUAAAAGAAGCAUAACAAAGGAUGGUGCCAGAGUCUGGGACAAAGUCCAUUACUGUGUAUUCUGUGAAAAGGCUCAGUUGAAGAUAGCUAGACAUCUAGAAAGAAAACAUCGUAUGGAACGCGAUGUCGCCUAUGCUUUUAGUUUCCCAGUUGGCUCAAAACAAAGGAAGAUUCUGAUAGAAGGCCUUCGUAAUAAGGGUGACUGGCAUCACAAUCGCAUGGUCUACAAGGAAGGAAAUGGUGAGAUUGUAGUAUGGAAACGGCCCUCUGAGAAGGCAGACAUAGAGAGCUACCUACCAUGUCAACACUGUUACGCAAUGUUCAAGAGGACUGAACUCUGGAGACAUGAGAAGUCAUGUAGAGAACGGAAAGAGGAAAGACAGAAAGGCAAAAGAGUACAAAAAUCUUCCUCACAUCUACUUCCAAUCAAAUUAGGCCAAGGAGUACAAAAGAUCAUCCACUCCAUGCAACAAGAUCAUGUAACCUCUCACAUCAGAAGUGAUGAGAUGAUUUGUGCGUAUGGAGAUGCAUUAUUUGCAAAAAAGGGCCGUGAAGAAUCUCAGCACAGAUACAUUGCACAAAAGCUGAGAGAACUAGGACGGUUUAUGUUGGCUGCCAAGGAGAUUGAUGAGCGUUCCGAAACUCUUAAAGACAUUUGUGAUCCAGCAAAUUUUAAACUGGCAAUCGAAGCAGCCAGACACGUGUCAAACUAUGAUGUAAACAAGAACGAAUAUGGAAAGCCAUCUACAGCUGUUAAAAUUGGGUUUUCACUCAAAGGGGCCACUGAAGCCUGGAUAGGCCACUGCUUGAUGGACUCUGAUGUCAAAACUGAGAAGGCGGCAAAGAAGUUCAAGGAGUUGCUGGAGAGCUCAUGGUCCAUUCAUGUGUCGACUAAUGCUCAUAGCUCAUUGGAGCAACGGCGGUGGGGCAAAGAAGACACUGUACCUCUGACAGAGGAUGUUAUCACUCUCCAGAACUACCUGAGGAAAGCUGAGGAUGAGGCAAAGGCAAAGUUAACCGAGCGCGUGAGUACUACAGCAUACAGGAAGUUAAGUGAGAGCCUUCUUGCACAAAUAAUUGUGUUCAAUAAGAAGCGUGAAGGAGAAGCAUCACGUUUAACCCUUGAGACAUAUCUAAAAGCAGACACCGGUCCUGUUAAUAAGGACAUUUAUGAGACUCUAUCGCCUGUGGAAAAACAAAUGAGCCACAGACUGACACGUUUGGUGACACGCGGAAAGAGAGGCAAAAAGGUGCCCAUCCUUCUUCUUGAGCGCACAAAAGCUUCGCUUGACUUCCUGAUUGAAAAACGGAGGGAAGUUGGCAUACUUGAGGAGAACCCCUUUCUGUUUGCCAGGCUUAGCACAACAACCAAUCUCCGUGGGUGUGACUGCCUCAGAAGAUAUGCAGAAGAGAGCAAGGCCAAAAACCCAGAACUGCUGAGAUCAACAAGGCUGAGGAAACACGUCGCUACCUUGUGUCAGCUUCUCGACCUCAGCAAUCAGGAACUUGAGCAAGUUGCUCGUUUUAUGGGACAUGAUAUCCGAGUCCACUGCGAGUAUUAUCGACAGACAGAUAAAACAUUCCAAGUGGCCAAGAUUGGCAAACUUCUGAUGGAGCAUGGAGCAGAGUCACUGAAAGGGAAGAGUCUGCAAACACUGGACUCCGUUAUCAGUGGCAAAAGACACGCAGCCACCCCAACUAAAGAUCUGAAAGGUGUCAAAAAGAGAAGGACGUCAGAUGCAGGAAUUCAACAGGAAGCUCAUGAAGAUGGACUGGUGCACCAGGAGAUAGGUGGAGGACAAAUGGAGAGAACUGCAGAAAAACAUGAUGAUGAUGCUCCAGAAAGGGUAGUCAAGAACCGAGGUAAGAGACCCUGGAAUGAACAGGAGAGGACGGCAGUCAAACGACGCCUUGCCAAGUCAAUCGCCCGUAAAAUGGUUCCAGGAAAGCAGGACUGCCUGAUGUGCAUUGCCAAAGAGUCUCCAGUCCUAAGUGCUCGGACGUGGAAAGACGUGAAGUAUUUUGUAUACAAUGAAAUUCUUAAAGUUAAAAGAAAGCUUGCAUUAUGAAUGAAUUGACUUUGAAUUUCCUCCCUCUGUUGUAUUUCCCGUGUUUUAAAGGGUGAAUUGUCUGUUAGUUUGUUCAUUUGUUAGCACUUGAACGAUAAUAAUAAAUGCUGGUUUAUUUAUUAAGUUGUUAAUGUC
ensembl:lncRNA